AACGAACGUUGGCGGUGUGGAUUAGGCAUGCAAGUCGAACGAAUGCUGGCUUUGUAGCAAUACCGAGCCAGAGGAAGUGGCGAAAGGGGCAGUAAUGCGUGGAUAACCUACCUUGGGGUUGGGCAUAGCCGUUCUAACGGACGGGUAAUUCCCAGAGAUUCAGCGGGGCGGCAUCGUUCUGCUGGGAAAGAAUUUCGCCUCGAGAGGGGUCCACGUGCUAUUAGCUAGUUGGUGAGGUAACGGCUCACCAAGGCUAAGAUGGCUAGCGGGUGUGAGAGCACGACCCGCGCCACUGGCACUGAGACACUGGCCAGACACCUACGGGUGGCUGCAGUCGAGGAUCUUCGUCAAUGGGCGCAAGCCUGAACGAGCGACACCGCGUGCGCGAUGAAGGCCUUCGGGUUGUAAAGCGCGAAAGUGGGGAUAAAGCCGAAAGGUUGAUAGAUCCACAGUAAGGACGGGCUAAGUUCGUGCCAGCAGCCGCAGUAAUAC
rnacentral:rRNA from 1 species